AGACACGUAAGAGUCGUGCCGCUGAAACCAACCGUAAUUACCGUCCACACAUUGGAAUUGUUUUAUUUGGGUCAAACGUCAUAUGACACAAACUCCGUUUAGAGAUUACUUCGACGAAAUGUCGAAAACAUUUUCAAUGUAACAUACUUUUAUCAUGAAAUGAAGUGCGUACCGCUUUAAUAACUUCUUCGUCAUCAUAGAGGGCGUAGUCAUACCUUGAGAUUGACACAAACCAGGUCCAAUAGGAUGAAAGAAUCGUGUCUUUUUGUGUGUUUAUAUCCAAUCAGACGGUUAUGGGUGUAAACAGAGUGUACCGGUUGUGCAGUCAUGGCUCCAUAUGCUGGAGUCGUAACCUUGAUAUUUUAGCCUCUUCGUUUGUGACAAUCCCACAACAGCAACAUGCAGGCUGCAAUGGACAUCACGGCAAAGUACUGCCAUAAGGAAAUGGAGGAAUAUGGGUCAUGUGUGGCUUCCAACCCAUCAACAUGGCAGCAAACGUGUCAUGAACUUAAGAUGAAGGUUGCACAGUGCACGUCAUCACAUCCGGUGAUCCAGAAGAUCAGAGAAGACUGUUCCAAGGAGUUUGUGGAGUUUGAGCGUUGCCUGAGAGAAAACCAGGACAAACCUGCCUCCUGCUCACCACACGUGGCUCGCUUCCUUGGCUGUGCAGAGACCGUGGACCUCAGUGGAGUGGCUCAGCCGUAGUAGCACUGAGACACCAGCAUUCCAUUACUACCCGAUUACACCUGUGCCCGCAGCAUCACAGAUGCUGGUUUCACUUGUCUGAGGUGUAUUCAGUGUGUGCAUUUGUCUUCAGCAAUAACAAGACACUGCCUGGAUCAGAGUCAAAUAUUAAGCCGGAAUGUUGUCACUCCCACACAAACUCUCCUGACCACUCAAUGAGUGAAACAUAGGGAGUCUGGGAAGAAUGAAGGAGGAGGAGGCUGUCCACCUUUUAAUCAACAAUACUAGUGAGAGAGACAGAGGGAGGAUGUUGAGUCAAGAGCCCUGUGACCACUGAGCAGAACAGGCCUUUUCUGGUUCAAUUAUUAAAGCACUGAAGGGGGUCAUGGAGGGGGGAAACAUUCAUUCUUUUCAAGUGUAAUAAAUACCUCCCUGCUUCAUAUGA